rnacentral:rRNA from 1 species
UUUUGGGAUGUAGGAUAGAGGCCUACCAUGGUGGUAACGGGUAACGGGGUGUUAGGGCACGACACCGGAGAGGGAGCCUGAGAAACGGCUACCACAUCCAAGGAAGGCAGCAGGCGCGCAAAUUACCCAAUCCCGACAUGGGGAGGUAGUGACAAUAAAUAACAAUACAGGGUUCUUUUGGAUCUUGUAAUUGGAAUGAGUACAAUUUAAAUCUCUUAACGAGGAACAAUUGGAGGGCAAGUCUGGUGCCAGCAGCCGCGGUAAUUCCAGCUCCAAUAGCGUAUAUUAAAGUUGUUGCAGUUAAAAAGCUCGUAGUUGAAUUUCGGGAUCAAGGGAUCGGUCAUGCCUUGGUAUGUACUGGUCUUAUUGGUUCUCACCUUCUAAAGAACCAUGAUGUCAUUCAUUUGAUGUUAUGGGGAAUUAGGACUGUUACCUUGAAAAAAUUAGAGUGUUUAAAGCAAGCUUACGCUUGAAUACAUUAGCAUGGAAUAAUGAAAUAGGACAUCAGAUUCUAUUUUGUUGGUUUCUAGGAUCGAUGUAAUGAUUAAUAGGGAUAGUUGGGGGCAUUAGUAUUCAAUUGUCAGAGGUGAAAUUCUUGGAUUUAUUGAAGACUAACUACUGCGAAAGCAUUUGCCAAGGAUGUUUUCAUUAAUCAAGAACGAAAGUUAGGGGAUCGAAGACGAUCAGAUACCGUCGUAGUCUUAACCAUAAACUAUGCCGACUAGGGAUCGGAUGAUGUUAAU